UACGGGGGGGGCAAGCGUUGUUCGGAAUUACUGGGCGUAAAGCGCGUGUAGGCGGCAAGGCAAGUCGGGUGUGAAAGCCCUGGGCUCAACCCGGGAAGUGCAUUCGAUACUGCUAAGCUAGAGUCCCGGAGAGGAUGGUGGAACUCUCGGUGUAGAGGUGAAAUUCGUAGAUAUCGAGAAGAACACCGGUGGCGAAGGCGGCCAGCUGGACGGUGACUGACGCUGAGACGCGAAAGCGUGGGGAGCAAACAGG
rnacentral:rRNA from 1 species